rnacentral:lncRNA from 1 species
AGGUUCAAGUGAUUCUUGUGCCUCAGCCUCCUAAGUAGCUGGGACUAGAGGCGUGCACCACCACCCCCAGCCCUCCUGGAAUUCAACGUUCUUCAUCUGACUGCUACUUGAGAAACUCCCCUGGCUACUCUUAUAUAUAACCAUCACCCAGAACUAAUAGAGCUCUGAAAUUUUGAAUGGUAUGAUACCCCCCGCACACACACAAGUAUAGUCAAUGGAUUUUUGAGAAACGUGCAAAAGCUGUUCAAUGGAGGAAGAAUAGUCUUUUCAACAAUAUUUGAAACUAGUGUUCUGGAAAAUUUCCUUUGAAAGAAUGAAAAGAAGCUACACACUGAGAGAAAAUAUUUGCAAACCACAUAUCUAGCAAAAGACUAGUAUCUAGAAUAUAUAAAGACCUUUCAAAAUGUAAUAGUUAUAAAACAGUUAAAAAGCAAAACAAUCUAGUUAGAAA